UUUCUAUUAUUUCUAUUUCGUAAUUUUCUUCCAAAAAUUUGGCAUCGUGAUUUCGUGAAAAUGUCGUCGGACGCAUGGGCGUCAUGAACAAAGGACUCAACAUGAAAUAACAACUGCAUUGAAAGAUAAUCUGUGAUGGCAGGCAUCUAGCCAGAGGGGGAUCAAAAGUUUUCACUCAAUACCUACAACCGUCAGUCUCACUUAUUUGAA